rnacentral:rRNA from 1 species
UUUAUGGAGAGUUUGAUCCUGGCUCAGGAUGAACGCUGGCGGCGUGCCUAAUACAUGCAAGUCGAGCGAACAGACGAGGAGCUUGCUCCUCUGACGUUAGCGGCGGACGGGUGAGUAACACGUGGAUAACCUACCUAUAAGACUGGGAUAACUUCGGGAAACCGGAGCUAAUACCGGAUAAUAUAUUGAACCGCAUGGUUCAAUAGUGAAAGACGGUUUUGCUGUCACUUAUAGAUGGAUCCGCGCCGCAUUAGCUAGUUGGUAAGGUAACGGCUUACCAAGGCAACGAUGCGUAGCCGACCUGAGAGGGUGAUCGGCCACACUGGAACUGAGACACGGUCCAGACUCCUACGGGAGGCAGCAGUAGGGAAUCUUCCGCAAUGGGCGAAAGCCUGACGGAGCAACGCCGCGUGAGUGAUGAAGGUCUUCGGAUCGUAAAACUCUGUUAUUAGGGAAGAACAAAUGUGUAAGUAACUAUGCACGUCUUGACGGUACCUAAUCAGAAAGCCACGGCUAACUACGUGCCAGCAGCCGCGGUAAUACGUAGGUGGCAAGCGUUAUCCGGAAUUAUUGGGCGUAAAGCGCGCGUAGGCGGUUUUUUAAGUCUGAUGUGAAAGCCCACGGCUCAACCGUGGAGGGUCAUUGGAAACUGGAAAACUUGAGUGCAGAAGAGGAAAGUGGAAUUCCAUGUGUAGCGGUGAAAUGCGCAGAGAUAUGGAGGAACACCAGUGGCGAAGGCGACUUUCUGGUCUGUAACUGACGCUGAUGUGCGAAAGCGUGGGGAUCAAACAGGAUUAGAUACCCUGGUAGUCCACGCCGUAAACGAUGAGUGCUAAGUGUUAGGGGGUUUCCGCCCCUUAGUGCUGCAGCUAACGCAUUAAGCACUCCGCCUGGGGAGUACGACCGCAAGGUUGAAACUCAAAGGAAUUGACGGGGACCCGCACAAGCGGUGGAGCAUGUGGUUUAAUUCGAAGCAACGCGAAGAACCUUACCAAAUCUUGACAUCCUCUGACCCCUCUAGAGAUAGAGUUUUCCCCUUCGGGGGACAGAGUGACAGGUGGUGCAUGGUUGUCGUCAGCUCGUGUCGUGAGAUGUUGGGUUAAGUCCCGCAACGAGCGCAACCCUUAAGCUUAGUUGCCAUCAUUAAGUUGGGCACUCUAAGUUGACUGCCGGUGACAAACCGGAGGAAGGUGGGGAUGACGUCAAAUCAUCAUGCCCCUUAUGAUUUGGGCUACACACGUGCUACAAUGGACAAUACAAAGGG